GAGUAAUUAUAACGUUUGUGAACCUCGUUAAACAUAUUUGUUUGUUUUGUGUAUGAAAUAUAAACCGAAAUCUGCAUAACAAAAUCAUUUUCAAUCCGGUAACACACAGUGUAUUAUCAACAUAUCCAAGUGGGCGGCAGGUAGUGAUAAUUCGUCUACAACAAUACGGAAUCCACAAAGAAAUUUUUUUUGAAAAAAUUUGACUCAUCUGCAAUCAACAUUUACAAUAUAACCGAUUGAUUUAUUAACGGCCAUUUUUCGAAUUUUAAUAUUAUAUGUUUUACAAUGGACUUUAAAUAUUCAAUGUUUUUCCUUCACUUUGCUCUAUUGGUUAUAUUUUUAAAAAAUGUUUCAGCACUAUGGGAACCCGGUCAUGAGCUCAAUUGUACGGGUAGCAAAAAUGUAUCUUGUAUGAAGCCUGAUAUAAAUUGUUUUUGUUGUAGAAAUAGUUGUCUUCCAACAGAAUUAAAUACAAUAGGUCAUCGACUUGCUUGUGAUCGAAUACCCUUAAAAUAUUGUUUUAACAAUAACACAGAUUGUGUAUGUUGUAAAGAAAAAUGUGAUACUUAAUAAAAAAUUAUUUAUUUGUUAACUUAUUGUUUUGUAUUUAUUUUUUGCUUUUGUUUUUUUAAUUACUUUUCUACUAGCUAUUUUUAUUUUUAUUUUCAAGUGUACCUAACAUUAUUCAG